rnacentral:rRNA from 1 species
UCAGAGUGACGCUGGCGGCGUGCCUAAUACAUGCAAGCGACGAUGAAGCUUCUAGCUUGCUAGAGUGCUGAUUAGUGGCGCACGGGUGAGUAACGCAUAGGUUAUGUGCCUCUUAGUUUGGGAUAGCCAUUGGAAACGAUGAUUAAUACCAGAUACUCCCUACGGGGGAAAGAUUUAUCGCUAAGAGAUCAGCCUAUGUCCUAUCAGCUUGUUGGUAAGGUAAUGGCUUACCAAGGCUAUGACGGGUAUCCGGCCUGAGAGGGUGAACGGACACACUGGAACUGAGACACGGUCCAGACUCCUACGGGAGGCAGCAGUAGGGAAUAUUGCUCAAUGGGGGAAACCCUGAAGCAGCAACGCCGCGUGGAGGAUGAAGGUUUUAGGAUUGUAAACUCCUUUUGUUAGAGAAGAUAAUGACGGUAUCUAACGAAUAAGCACCGGCUAACUCCGUGCCAGCAGCCGCGGUAAUACGGAGGGUGCAAGCGUUACUCGGAAUCACUGGGCGUAAAGAGCGCGUAGGCGGGAUAGUCAGUCAGAUGUGAAAUCCUAUGGCUUAACCAUAGAACUGCAUUUGAAACUNCUANUCUAGAGUGUGGGAGAGGUAGGGGGAAUA